GACGAACGCUGGCGGCGUGCCUAAUACAUGCAAGUCGAGCGGACCAAAGGGAGCUUGCUCCUGGAGGUUAGCGGCGAACGGGUGAGUAACACGUGGGCAACCUGCCUGUAAGACUGGGAUAACAUCGAGAAAUCGGUGCUAAUACCGGAUAAUAAAAAGAACUGCAUGGUUCUUUUUGAAAGAUGGUUUCGGCUAUCACUUACAGAUGGGCCCGCGGCGCAUUAGCUAGUUGGUGAGGUAACGGCUCACCAAGGCAACGAUGCGUAGCCGACCUGAGAGGGUGAUCGGCCACACUGGGACUGAGACACGGCCCAGACUCCUACGGGAGGCAGCAGUAGGGAAUCUUCCGCAAUGGACGAAAGUCUGACGGAGCAACGCCGCGUGAGUGAUGAAGGUUUUCGGAUCGUAAAACUCUGUUGUUAGGGAAGAACAAGUGCCGUUCGAAAGGGCGGCACCUUGACGGUACCUAACGAGAAAGCCACGGCU
rnacentral:rRNA from 1 species